AUACCUACCCUAGGGUUUUUGAUCAGCCGCUCUCUCCUCCGUUUCGUUUCUGCUUUUCUUCAAUCUAGAAUUUUGGAUCUUCGUCUUAAUCAAGUUGAUGAACUUAUAACCCGACUUCACUCACAGCCAACUUCAGAUGCCCUAGGGUUUCUUCCAGACGUCCGUUCGUCAUCUCCACCAUCUCAUCUAUCUCUCUCCGGCCACCACUAACCAAGUUGAUGAACUCGCUGCAGAAACCGACGAUGUGAUGGUUGCUAAUCAUCUCGAUUGUGCCUCUAGAGAGACGGUUGGGUGGCUGGAUUGGAAUGCCGUCGUCGCCGAUCCAAAUCAUCAGCGGCUAGGGCUCGAUUGAUCCCUGCAUUGAUUUAGGAUUUUUGUCUUCACCAACAUCAGACGAUUGAAUGAUGGAGCACGCUUUGCAUUUGGGAACAACUCAAAGGGUUUGUGUGUGGACGGCUUUUCUGUUGGUGGUGUUGUCUAUUUUGGGUGCUUGCUCAAUCAUCAAUAGAUUCACAAGCGUAGCUGGUGAAUUAUUUGGUCUGUUAAUCGCAAUGCUCUUUAUGCAGCAAGCUAUUAAAGGAGUUGUGGAUGAGUUUGGUAUACCAAAAAUUCAAAACCCUAAUCAACCUGCUAUGAAAUCUUCAUGGCGUUUUGGAAAUGGAAUGUUUGCUUUGUUUUUAUCUUUUGGUCUUCUCCUUACUUCUUUACAAAGUCGUAAAGCAAGAUCUUGGCGAUACGGAACAGGUUAAUGUCGGGGUGGGGGGAUCUAAGAAAAUGGCUAGGCUUGGAUUUUUCGUUUUGAAAGAAAACCUUGCAAGAUCUGGUACUGGGACAAUUGUUGCUCUGCCUCUUUCUAAUUCUCUCACCUUCACUGUUCUACCAUUCUGUUUCUCAUCACCUCGCACUUCCAAAAUGGAUUCCGCAUGGCGAUUCAAUUCCGACAAUUCUAAAGAAGACGAAAGUUUGAUUAUCGCAAAAGGGUGCUUCAAAGGGUUUGUUUUGCGAAGACCACGGAAAGAACGAGCAACCAAGAUUCAUAAGCAACUAUGGAGAUGGCAUACCGGUGAUGGUCAAUAGAGUUUCAAGCCCCCACCACUUCUGCUUUAAUACCUCCAUGUCAGAAACAACAACUCUCCAUCCACCCACACCAUUCGCAAAGCCAUUCCAAAACAACUUACUGCGCACCGAAAAUGAUGAAGGCGACCGAUGAUGAAAACGAAAGUUGGGGCUCACGUUUAAACAGAGAGAAAAGAGUUCUCAUUAGUCUAUGGGCGAAAGUAAUGAGAGAAAGGCAAGGGAGGGGCUUUGCUGAGAUGGCCGAUAUCGGUUUCUAUCUCGGCUACUGAGGACGAUGAACAAGAUCAUAUUCCCAAUUAGCAAAAGGCUUGAAAGUCGCAUCAGUGUCUACUCACACCAAUUCAUUUCCCUUUGAUGAUGGGUCACGCGGGAUCCAUUUAUACCUACAUUCGGGUCAAAUGACUACUGUGGUGGCGACUAAGGGUGAUGUUGAUGACAAUUUUGGUACACAACAACAGUGGAAUGAAUAGGGUUUCACUGUGACCAUGACGGCUGCGGGUGUAGUUUCCGCUGGUGACAUCCUGACGAUUUUGAUGGUUUAGCAUGUAGUAAGUGGUCCGAUUUCAAGAGGAUACACAGUUGCACAAUGGCUCUUCGUUUUGAGGGUUACAUUGCCUUAUGGGACUGUGAAGGAGUGGAAGAAAUGAGAAACAACUCAUUUCGAUAUAACGAAGGAGUUAUCAAAUAGUUUGUCUUCAAAUGCUUUGAUUUCUCACGUGGAUGGUGUGAUGUGACACAUGUCAUGGCAUUUGGAAGGUGGGUGUCAUGUCAGCUCAAGAUUUUCACUUUUGAUAGUGAUGAGGGACGCGAUACGUGUUGGCAUUCGAGUGCUCAUAUUCUUGGGCAGGUUCUGGAACAAACAUUUGGAUGCAAGUUGUGUAUUGGGACGUGUAAUAUAGGAGGAGAGGUAUGUUUUUAGUGUUUUGUUCUCUUUACUUCAAGGUUCUUUAGUUGUUAGGGUUGUAGUAAGAUUUGAUAUUGUAUAUUGGAGAUCCGUUUCUCCUGGCUUGUGUGUGUUGCAUUCCACUAAUAUAUGCUGUAUUUGGAAAAUAAAUAAUAUGUUUGGAUUGUGUUUUAUAGCUAUCGGGUCCGAUUUUUAAAUAUCUAUGCAAUAGUUUAAUAAAAAUAUCAUUUUUAGCUACCGGGUUGUAAAAUUGGUUGUUGGACUUGGAGUUGGUGUCCCAUGGAUUACGUGGUAGCAAAUUGAUACUCUAUAAUACAUUGUCCCUUCCUACUAUGUUGGCUUUUGUUUCAAUAAACGUUAUUCAGAGUCAGAAGCGACAGUCUUGACAUGUUCACAUAUGAAUCGGUUGAUUCAUGUUUUAUGUCUAAGGACUAACGGGGUAAAUGGGUAAAUAAAAGUUCAGCUCAAAACCAGAAAAUGAUAAUGUUAAAAAUGGUCAAGUGUCCCUGAGUAUAUGUUUAAUGCAAAUAUAUCCUACAUAAUUUAUCCAAGAAAUAUAUAUAUUUUUUCAUUUAAAUGCAUUACUUUUGUAAUCAUAUUUGAUACACGGGUUGUUUAUACGAAGACUUUAGUUUUAGACAAACCAUGUAUCGGGUCAAACCUGACCCGUUUCAACCCAUAAAAAAUUACCCCUUUUCACCGGUAACCAAACUCUAUUGAGACGGAACCUAACUUGACAACUUGAUUUUGUUUUGACAUGGGUUUGUUAUUGCAAAUGGAUACUAUCAACUCAUUUAUCUGGCGAUUGCUAAGGAGUUUGAAAGCGUGAGAGCUGGUACACCUGUGGCGCCUUUUGAUAUGUCAAGAUACGGGCUUGAUGUUCCAUCACAUAAUGAUGAAACUGCUUGGAAGCAGCCACUUCAUAAAUCUCAAUGCUUACUUCAACAUCAAGUUAUCGGGUUUGGCUAAAGCAUAUAACUAUCUUGCCAGCAUAUAUACUCAUGUGCUUGGAUUUUUUUAGUUGGCUUUUUGUUAAUCUUUUAUUUUGAGCGAAGAUAUGGAAGAAGUUGAAGCUGCUAAUACAGUUGUUGAAAGUUUCCAUAAAAUUUUCAGCCUAUUGGUUAAACCACAAGAUCAAACUCAGUACAAAAACUUGAUAGUCCAAACAGGGGAUGCAUCGGUUAAGUUCAAGAAAAUUGUAACUUUACUUGAUGAUGGUGUGGGUCAUGCUAAGGUUAAAUGGUCAGCUACUCCACCAUUUUAACCAUACCAAAACUACCACAAUCAGUUAAAGAAAUUAAAUCAAACUAGGUCUAUACUUCUGUGCGCGUUGUGCACGGGACCGCUGCGAAGAACAAAAAAGAAAAUGUAGAAAAAAACACUAAAAGAUAACUGAAAGAAAAUAAACAAAAAAA